UUGACCUCGGAUCAGGUAGGGAUACCCGCUGAACUUAAGCAUAUCAAUAAGCGGAGGAAAAGAAACCAACAGGGAUUGCCCCAGUAACGGCGAGUGAAGCGGCAAGAGCUCAAAUUUGAAAGCUGGCUCCUUCGGGGUCCGCAUUGUAAUUUGUAGAGGAUGCUUCGGGAGCGGUCCCCAUCUAAGUGCCCUGGAACGGGACGUCAUAGAGGGUGAGAAUCCCGUAUGGGAUGGGGUGUCCGCGCCCGUGUGAAGCUCCUUCGACGAGUCGAGUUGUUUGGGAAUGCAGCUCUAAAUGGGUGGUAAAUUUCAUCUAAAGCUAAAUAUUGGCCGGAGACCGAUAGCGCACAAGUAGAGUGAUCGAAAGAUGAAAAGCACUUUGAAAAGAGAGUUAAAAAGCACGUGAAAUUGUUGAAAGGGAAGCGCUUGCGACCAGACUCGCUCGCGGGGUUCAGCCGGCAUUCGUGCCGGUGUAUUUCCCCGCGGGCGGGCCAGCGUCGGUUUGGGCGGUCGGUCAAAGGCCCUCGGAAGGUAACGCCCCUAGGGGCGUCUUAUAGCCGAGGGUGCAAUGCGACCUGCCUAGACCGAGGAACGCGCUUCGGCUCGGACGCUGGCAUAAUGG
rnacentral:rRNA from 2 species